CGGGAGUCGGGCGGGCGCGCGAGGGAGCACUCUCCCCUGAGUGCUUCCUCUUCAGCUCCCUUGCGCACUGCACUGAUACCGGAACCGGAUGAUGACGUCAUCUUCCGGCGCCGGCAUCCCUACGCGCCACCCAGGAGCCCAGCAGCACCACUGGACCCCAGGGAAUCCCCUCAGCUCUCCAAAAGGUAAGGAGGCUGGGGGGAUUAAAUUUAAAAAAAAAACAUGUGUGUGUGUGUUAAUAUGUGUGUGUUAGUGUUAGUGUGUAUGUGUUAGUGUGUAUGUGUUAGUGUGUGUGUCUGCUAGUGAGUGUCGGUGAGUGUGUCUGUUAUUGAGUGUGAGUCUGCUAGCGUGUGUCAGUGAGUGUUACUGUGUGUGUCUGUUACUGAGUGUGUUUGAUGUCUGUUAGUGAGUGUGUGUUUGUCAG